rnacentral:rRNA from 1 species
AAUAUUGGACAAUGGGCGAAAGCCUGAUCCAGCCAUGCCGCGUGAGUGAAGAAGGCCUUAGGGUUGUAAAGCUCUUUCAGCGGGGAAGAUAAUGACGGUACCCGCAGAAGAAGCCCCGGCUAACUCCGUGCCAGCAGCCGCGGUAAUACGGAGGGGGCUAGCGUUGUUCGGAAUUACUGGGCGUAAAGCGCACGUAGGCGGGCUGUUAAGUUAGGGGUGAAAUCCCGAGGCUCAACCUCGGAAUUGCCUCUGAUACUGGCAGCCUCGAGUCCGGGAGAGGUGAGUGGAAUUCCGAGUGUAGAGGUGAAAUUCGUAGAUAUUCGGAGGAACACCAGUGGCGAAGGCGGCUCACUGGCCCGGUACUGACGCUGAGGUGCGAAAGCGUGGGGAGCAAAC